rnacentral:rRNA from 1 species
CCUACGGGUGGCAGCAGUAGGGAAUUUUCGGCAAUGGGCGAAAGCCUGACCGAGCCACGCCGCGUGAACGAAGAAGGCCUUCGGAGUGUAAAGUUCUGUUAGAGAGGAAGAAUGGUGUACGAAGGAUAUGGCGUACAAAUGACGGUACUCUGUGAGGAAGCCACGGCUAACUACGUGCCAGCAGCCGCGGUAAUACGGAGGAUGCGAGCGUUAUCCGGAUUUGUUGGGUUUAAAGGGUGCGUAGGCGGACGCUUAAGUCAGCGGUAAAAUGGCGGGGCUCAACCCCGUCGAGCCGUUGAAACUGGGUGCCUUGAGUGGGCGAGAAGUACGCGGAAUGCGUGGUGUAGCGGUGAAAUGCAUAGAUAUCACGCAGAACUCCGAUUGCGAAGGCAGCGUACCGGCGCCCAACUGACGCUGAAGCACGAAGGCGUGGGUAUCGAACAGGAUUAGAUACCCCAGUAGUC